UCGGCUUAAUAACUUGACUUGUGAUGAAUCGGAUGUCAAAGACUUAGCUUUUAAGUUAAAAAGGAAGCUGUUCACCAUUGAGCGACUGCAUCUGCCUCCAGACUUGUCAGACACAGUGGGUCGUUCAAGCAAACAGGAUCCGGCACCAUCCACCACUCUGCUGGGCACAGGCUGUAGCGGGAUGACCGGAGGCAAGAAGCACCUGGACUUCUAGGGAUGCUCCUUGGCCACCUUGUGCGAAGUUAUCUGACCCUCUAAUCUUUGAGAAACACAGGGUUACAAAAUAGAGUCACCAUUCUUCAGUUUGGGUUGUUUCGUUAUUUGCUUUUUCUACUAGCCUCUGUACAAAAAUAAAUAUGGCAGAAAUGCUGUCAUUUGACAUUUAGCUGCUGUUAUGUUUUUUUAAAUACUAAUUAAUUUUUAAAUAAACACCAAAAACUACC
rnacentral:lncRNA from 1 species